rnacentral:rRNA from 1 species
GCUUGUCUCAAAGAUUAAGCCAUGCAUGUCUAAGUAUAAACGAAUUUAUACUGUGAAACUGCGAAUGGCUCAUUAUAUCAGUUAUAGUUUAUUUGAUGGUCCUUACUACUUGGAUAACCGUAGUAAUUCUAGAGCUAAUACAUGCACCAAGCCCUGACUUUGAAGGGGUGUAUUUAUUAGAUGGAAACCAAUGCGGGGCAACCCGGAAUAUGGUGAUUCAUAAUAACCGAACGAAUCGUAUGGCAUCAGCUGGCGAUGAAUCAUUCAAGUUUCUGACCUAUCAGCUUCCGACGGUAGGGUAUUGGCCUACCGUGGCAAUGACGGGUAACGGAGAAUUAGGGUUCGAUUCCGGAGAGGGAGCCUGAGAAACGGCUACCACAUCUAAGGAAGGCAGCAGG